rnacentral:misc_RNA from 1 species
UUUCCGUAGGUGAACCUGCGGAAGGAUCAUUACAGAGUUCAUGCCCUCACGGGUAGAUCUCCCACCCUUGAAUAUCUAUACCUUAGUUGCUUUGGCAGGCCGUGGAAACACCAUGGGCUCCGGCUUAUGCGUGCCUGCCAGAGGAAACAAACUCUGUUUUUAGUGAUGUCUGAGUACUAUAUAAUAGUUAAAACUUUCAACAACGGAUCUCUUGGUUCUG